rnacentral:tRNA from 1 species
GCGCUCGUAGCUCAGCCUGGAUAGAGCAAUGGUUUCCGGUACCAUGUGGCGGGGGUUCGAAUCCCUUCGAGCGCAUCA